GGAGUUGUGGCUCAGCGGUCAAGCACUCGCCUAGCAGGUGAGGGGCCCUGGGUUCCAUCCUCAGCAUCACAU
rnacentral:tRNA from 1 species